GUGUCAGAAAACAAGUCCUUAAACUAAUAAAACGGAUCAUUAGUGUUUAAAAGUCUGUCGUAUUCCUCUAGAUCUACUCCCAGUUGUACAGUCUUUCACUAGAGAACAGUGAAUGGCGGGCUAACUUCAGUAUGGGUGGCAUGAUAAGGGUUUCUCGUGGCCAUCUCAGCGGGGCCAGGUCGUGAGGGGCCCGCCAGGCGACCGAGGUGACACGGGGCUGGUCUGUGAGGGUGCUCGCCGCUGACUUCUGCAGACGCUCGGGGGCACAUGGGCACAUAGAGAUUGUACCGUGAUCCUUUGGGCUGCACUCUCCGGACUUCACACAGGGGAAACAGGACUGUUUUCCAGCGUCCGUCAAAGUCACCGACCUAUUCAGG